CUCCAAGGAUGGGAAUCGAACCCACAGUGUUCCGCUUACCGGGCAGAUGCCAUGUCCACUAGGCUACCCUGGA